UUUCAGGGCUGCCCAAUCUAGUCCAUAUCUACUGUGCCACCCACUGACCACCAACAAGCCCUCGAACACAGCAUGGCGCCUGCCCCAGGAACACGCAGCCCAGCCGAGAGACAGCCAGGGAAUCACUACCCCUUACAACCUGCUAAGGGAGAGAGAGGGUCGGACGGGGUGCACAGUCAACCCCCGGAACUGUUGCGGAACAGCUGUUUGCCUGCCUUCCUUCCUCCCGGAAUCAAACGGCGGGUACACAAGCCGGACAGGACUCGUUAUGCACCAUCACUUUUCCCAUGUGACCAUGCUGAUGGAUACCUGCUCCUUGGCCACCCAGUAGCUGUCUGGAUUGUCAACUCCACUGUCAGGGUCACAG
ensembl:lncRNA